rnacentral:rRNA from 1 species
CAUGGAAGGGCCAUCGCUCAACGGAUAAAAGCUACCCCGGGGAUAACAGGCUUAUCUCCCCCAAGAGUUCACAUCGACGGGGAGGUUUGGCACCUCGAUGUCGGCUCAUCGCAUCCUGGGGCUGUAGUCGGUCCCAAGGGUUGGGCUGUUCGCCCAUUAAAGCGGUACGCGAGCUGGGUUCAGAACGUCGUGAGACAGUUCGGUCCCUAUCCGUCGUGGGCGUAGGAAAUUUGAGAGGAGCUGUCCUUAGUACGAGAGGACCGGGAUGGACAUACCUCUGGUGUACCAGUUGUCGUGCCAACGGCAUAGCUGGGUAGCUAUGUGUGGACGGGAUAAGUGCUGAAAGCAUCUAAGCAUGAAGCCCCCCUCAAGAUGAGAUUUCCCAACUUCGGUUAUAAGAUCCCUCAAAGAUGAUGAGGUUAAUAGGUUCGAGGUGGAAGCAUGGUGACAUGUGGAGCUGACGAAUACUAAUCGAUCGAAGACUUAAUCAA